rnacentral:snRNA from 1 species
AGAUGUGAGGGUGAUCUGGCUGUGACAUGUCACCCCGUUGAUCUCCAGGGUUGAUUCAGCUGAUCUGGCUGGCUGGCUGGGUGUCCCUUUCUCCCUCACUGCUCCAUGUGUGUCCCUCCUGAAGCUGGGCAUUCCCUGGAAGAGGACAACCAUCACGAUAGAGGACUGGUCAAAGCCAAGAGUAGCUGCGCUCCCCUGCUAGAACCUCCAAACAUCUCCCAAAAAGUGGGGUAGAGACGCAGAUACAGAGGGAGAUUGUUCAGAGGCCUUCACAGGCGUGGUUGUUUUUCUCU